CUCGAUGUCAGUGGAAAGGAGGAGCGCCUGGCACAGCCUCCUGGCCAAGUCAUGGUUGGCCAGGCCCGAUGCACCUUUGGAGAGUGGGAAGUCGGUCGAUCCUCCACCGCCGGCCGACCGUCCUUCAUCGCCCGACGCCAUAGGGGCCUUCCCUCGACCGAAUGCCCAGGCCCUGACAUCGGAGAUGGACGGCAAACUUGAGCCCGAUCGAGUCUCGACCGACGAUGCGGCAGCAGCGGGCGCAGGUCGCUC
rnacentral:lncRNA from 1 species